rnacentral:rRNA from 1 species
CACCGCGGUUAUACGAGAGGCCCAAGUUGAUGAAAAACGGCGUAAAGCGUGGUUAAGUUAAAAUCAAAACUAAAGCCGAACACCCCCAAAGCUGUUAUACGCACCCGGAGGUUAGAAGUCCAACUACGAAGGUGGCUUUACCCAACCUGAACCCACGAAAGCUAAGUUA